rnacentral:piRNA from 1 species
UAGCAGUUACUACCCAUUUCCAACCCCAGCC